rnacentral:rRNA from 1 species
CAGCCGCCGCGGUAAUACGUAGGGUGCGAGCGUUAAUCGGGAUUACUGGGCGUAAAGCGGGCGCAGACGGUUACUUAAGCAGGAUGUGAAAUCCCCGGGCUCAACCUUGGAACUGCGUUCUGAACUGGGUGACUAGAGUGUGUCAGAGGGAGGUAGAAUUCCACGUGUAGCAGUGAAAUGCGUAGAGAUGUGGAGGGAUACCGAUGGCGAAGGCAGCCUCCUGGGAUAACACUGACGUUCAUGCCCGAAAGCGUGGGUAGCAAACAGGAUUAGAUACCCCGGUAGUCCCUGUCUCUUAUAA